GUCGGGAUAGCUCAGCUGAAA
rnacentral:tRNA from 1 species